GUUGUGGCAAAAUCUUACAGUGCUUGUAUAUUGUUGUCUUUCUGGGAACUGAAAUUAGUUAAAACAUUUCAAAAUGCUCCUGCAGACUAUCUUUUCAGUCAUGAAUUUUGUCAUUGAGGAUUUCUUAAAAACUCUCUUGUGAGCCCGAUCUCAUGUCUCGUCUCGUCUCAUGAGUGUCUCGUCACACCCCUAUUAGAGAGGCAUUAAAUUGAUCAAAAGUAUCAGUGAAGGCAAUGUUACAAUCAUUUUUAUUUUGAAUAUUCUACUCAUCAAAGAAUCCUGGGGAGACUUCUUAAACAUUAAAACAUCUUCUUGACCCAAACUUUUGAACGGUAGAUUACAUUAGAUUAGAAUUAGAGCACAAACCUCAGUCCUGUCAAUCAUCACAGUACGGGCACAUUUACCUGCUUUCUGCUUCUGAAACACACUUUUCCUUUUGGCCUUGUGGAAAGAAAUGUCAACAUCUGGAUUCAUUGUUUAAAUGUUAUUGUUAGUCCAGAAUCAGAUGCAACAUCUACAGUCUAUACAGAUUAUGGCUCUUCAUAUAUAACAGUAUUGCAUCAGUCAGAGAAUGAACUUCACAUAUACAUGUGUCAACAUAUAUAAAUGUAUUUAAGCAGUGUUUUGUUGUUGGUGUGUGUCUGAGCAGUGGCACAAGUGUAUGUUCCCAUCACUGCGUGUGUUUGUUUGUGCGUUGGCAUAUAUUUGUGUUCUGUGCAUGUGUGUGUGUGUGUGCUGCUCGCAAGUGUUGUUCUCUGCUGCAGACCUCUUUCCUCUCUGAGUCAGUGCCAUCAGUUGCUACGGCAACCAGGAGGCAGCAUGAAAGCUAGCGAGAGAAGACCGAGGGAGAGAGAGAGGUGGAGCAUGGCACAAAGCCGACUCGCAGCAGCUGUGGAACAGCACUGGGACGCUGGGCACGUUCUCUGGGUGUGGGUGAGAGACUGUACGAGUGUGUGUGUGUGUGUGUGUGGUCCUGUCCAUCAGCACAUAAUAAUACACCAAAUCAUAUACUGUAGGGAAAAAUCCAUUUUUAAAUCCUUCAUCUGUUGCAAGAUUCACUGUUAUAUCUGUAAAUAAAUACUGAUAUUUAUCAGUGAAUCUGUACAGCUCUGUGCUCUAUUGUUUCAACAAAUUAACAGGCAUCCUUCUGACACUCUAUCAGCAAGUGACAGCCGUUUUGACUCAUUAAUGUAGGAUGAGGUUUGUCUUUGUGUGUAUGUUGUGCAGAAUGUGAUGGAAAUUCACCAUUAGCACAGUUUCUCUGACUUCAUUACUAGCUGAUUCACAAACAACACAAAUAAUCAGAUAAAUUAAGGUAGACAAAAGAAUUUCAAAGACAGCCGGAAAAAAUGCCCCUACAGUGCAAAAACAUCAGGUCUUUAUGGAAUGUUUAGGUCAAAAUGUCCAGAUUCUGAAGUCUAAAUCUCAUCUUCAGUCAUUAUUGAACAACAUAUGAGAUCGAGAAUUAAAAAAAAAAAAAAAUCUGAAUUAAAAAAGUGGCCUGAAAACCCCCUUUUUAACCUUUGUUUCUUUCUAAAACGCUGUGUUUCCACCUCAGAGUGAAAUAUUAAAAAGAUAAUUGUGAAGAGGGCACAUUGGGAGAAAUAAAUUCGUAAUUUGGAGAUAAAGUCACAGUUUUUGUUUGUUUUUAUUUAUUUUUACUCUGAGGCGGAAAUAGGCUCUCAUGUAAACAACCUAUUAAAUCCACAAAAUAAGUUGCAUAAACAUUAACUCAUUGCAGACUGUAUUGAGGGAAUGCUGUGUGGGCUGGGAAAAGUGUGAAUUUGUUUAUGUGAAUGUGUUUGUGUGUGUGUGCGUUCAACCUCAUUUACAUUGCCAGACAGUGAGAAUGGCCUUGAACUUGACCUCAGGUCUAUUCUCUUGUUUCUCUCCUCCUUCUCACCCUUAAACUCUCAUUGUUGCGUUGUCUGCAUCGACUCCUCUCUCCAGUCCCUCGUCAUUCACACCAGCACGGCUGGCUGUGGUGACCUCGUCCCUGCCGCACACGCCCAUUGGGGCUGUUCGCUUUCCCAUGAGGCAAAUCCAGGGUUUGAAUUCCAUUCCCACAUCCUCCAUUUUGUAUUUACUUGCUUUUUUUUUAAGCCAAGUGACUUCAGUAGCUUGAACAAGAUUUGCAAACCAGGCAGACAACGAGUCAGACGCAGCUCAGGACUGGAGUGGAGCUGUCGAAGACACAAUGAAAUGGUGAUUCAUGAGGAUAUAAGUGCUGCUUGAUAAAUGAUAUCCUAGUAAUCAUUAACUCUACUUUCCCAGAUUUCAUCACAAAGACCAAACUGUUUAGUAACCACUAACAUAAAAUGUGUCUAACAUUGGGUUUGUGUGCACAUUUGUUUGAAUCUCAAAGCUUUAGAUGACAACAUAACAGCCUAUUAACAACUUAACUUGAGUAUAAUUAUUUGAACAGGCAUUUAUAAUGUUAAAUUGAGGAUAUUAAAUCAUUAAUGCAAUGUUUUUUUUUCUUUCAGGAUUUAUCAUCUAUACAGUACCAUCAGUAUUUGGAAUCUUCGGACAUUUCCUUUAGGAUUUCACAUACUAUUUUCUUUGUCAUCACCAUGAUAAAACAUGUAUUAGAGCUUCACAAUUAUGUUUGACAUUAACAGCUUUAUAGUUUUUGAUAUAUAAUUUUACUCAAAAAAUAUUUAAAUCUAAACCAGAUUUAAUGAUGAACACAAUCCAUCUUUUUGUUUGGCCCCUUUGUUGUUGACCCUAGCAAAUCGAAGAGCAAUAUUUUUUUCUAUCCAAAGUAAUGUCAGUGUUGAUUUACUCAGCAGUUAGCAGAUAUUGAUGACAGGAAUUGUUCGACAUUUGAUUACUAAGGUGGAGAUUUAAAGACGGUUAUCAGCAUGAGUUGAUAAUCAAAGCUGCAUCCGAAAGCUAAAAAUGCUGUCUUCACAAACAGCAUAUGGAGGAAGACAACAAGCCUACUAAGAUGCCUUCAUCCGGUUGUUUUUGAAGGCUGCAGAUGCAUUCUUGACUGCCAGUGAUGUCCCACAAUCCUGCGCAUAUGGUUGGGCAGUUGGUGGAAAAAAUUAUGUCAGUUGAAAGAGCUCAAAUGGCACAGCAAACACCAUUUGCUGCACACUGUCUCUUUCAUUUCUGGUUCAUUAAGAAGUUUGCAGCAAACGAACACCUCAGACGGCUGUAACUCAUGCAGGCCACAGCGAGUGCCAGGUUUAGAGAUUGAGGGCGAAGUUGACGGUGCCUUUGCGCUUGGUACAACGUGGAACUGAAGCAAAGAGGAGGCAUGUGACACAACCUAAACCCAGAGAACUCCAGAGUUUAGUCGCUCCACGGGGCUCAGACAAGCAACUCGAGGUGUGCAGUGCAGCCAUUUUGGGGCUCGGUUGGUGAGUUCCGUCCAAAGAAAGAGAAGCAUUGCCGGGGGCAGGAAUCAGAGCGGCGCUCACCAAAAGCUGCCUGGCUGAUGUGACUGGGACGCUGUCAAAAGACAGUUUGAUUAGACUGCCAAUCAUUAUUCCUCACAGGCCGUGACGUGUCCAACCUAAAGGCUACCUCCUACCUUUAUGCUAAAUAGUCAAGGUAUGCUAACUUGUACUUGUAGAUCUUUCUUUUAUACCACUUUUUAGGACAUUUUGUAAUUGAACGUCAUUUAUAGUUUACUGUAGCUAGGCCUAGAUGGACAGUUCACUGCUAAAUUGGUGUGAAGGAUGCAACAGGAGAAAUGGAUAAUGAUGGAGUGAUGCAAAUUGAGCUAAAUCAAGAUGAUGAUCGAUAAUAUUUGCUGCAUACAGGUAAGUGGAGUAUAUAAAUUGCUGUGUAGGUAUUUUUGAUAAUAAAGAUAUUAAUAAUGUAACUGCAGGCCAAAUCAGGACAAAACAAAUUGAGAGUUUGUCACACGUUAUUGCUAAACUUGAACAUGGUUUUAGAAACUCUUAAGCCAUCUUUUAAGAAUUUUCACUAUCUCCAACAAAUAAAAGACCAGAAGUCAUUCAUUUCCAAUUAAGUGUAUUAUAGAAGCUUUGUGAAGUUCUGGCCAUAUAUGCGUAUGUGGAAUUUUUCGAUCUUCGGUUGCAAUGAAUAUUUGCGGUUAGACAGUAUGUGACCAUUAGACCGGAUGUAAUGUAUUCUAAUAAAAACUAUGAGCGUGAGGUGAGAAUUGCCAAUAUUUUUGCACUAAAACUUUAUUCUUUAAACACUAUUUCUCUAAAAUGGGUGGUUAUUACAAAAAAUGUCCAAGGUAAGCCCUAGAAAACCUAUGCUUUUCUUUCAAAAGUAUUAGAGGUAAUUUGUUUUAUGUGGAUAUAUUCAUACAUUCAUUAUUCAUUCAUUUUACAAUAGUGAAUAAGCAGAGGGUAACGGCUGCUUCAUGACCAAUUUGAAAGUUCUGUGCAACUGCCAUUAGGGGGUAAAAUGCAACAAUGUGAAUGGCAGCUUUUGUCAGAGGUUUCAAUAAACUCAGUUUGCUCAGUAGAAACUGGUCUGAAACAUUUUGUCAUUGGAGGACACGAUCAACUCAAUGCUAAUGUAACCACAUGUGUACACACUUGAUCAUUUUGGCUCAAACUCAUUUAUCUAUUCCCAGUGGUAACGUUUGGACUGUAUUUGUCUUUUGCUCUCAAGGAUGAACAGUUUAAUCCCUGCACCUGCAAUGCAGCAGCACUAUCUGUGGCUACAGUAGUAACACAAACCGAAUGACAGCGCCUCACCAUAUAAAUUCAUUCACAACAUCCAAAAUGUACCUAUUACUAAACAGCAUUGCUAAAUCAGACUUUUGAAGCCUCUGUGAUCUGUUAAUUCCAAAUGAGAAAUUAAAUUACUAUAACAUGCCCAAAGUGGCUCAUGUCCACCUACUGAUCACAAGCUAGUGAAGGGGAAUUGUGGUAUUGGCCUCCUAAUGUUUUUUUUUGCCAACAAAAACUGUUAAGGUUCAGCUGCUGAACUCACAGACCUGUAUUCAGGACCAUCCCAACAAGCUUUGCUACUUAGAAAAUGUCCAUGCCGGCACUGGCUCCAUCCCAGCCCCAUUUAUAACACAGCCAACUGUCACAUCCAAUCAAGAACCUCUCAGCACAAAAUUCAAGUUCAGACAAUCAACGUUUGUUUCUCAGCGCUGGCUCAAGGUCCGAAUGCAUCCUGAAUAGCAGCCAGAUUUGCGUGGGAAAGCUUUAGCCCGUUAAUUAUUCAAAUGUAUGAGUUGAAUUGAGCGAGUCCGGGUCGGUAUUGAAAAAGACAAUGGGGUCUCAACUCACCAACCUUGUUAAACAAAGGUAACGAGUGAAUGAGCUUUGUGCGCUCGCUGCAGACUAAUACUUCAGAAAGCACCGGACUGGGUGUUAGUACAGGCACCCGUGGGUGAUCAUCAUGUGGCCUUGUGUUAAGCCUCGGCCUGCUGCUCUGUGCUCUGAGACUAGCAGCUUACAGAUUAAACACGAUCAUGUUUGACCAACUUACCACUGCACCGCAUGUUCGCAUAAACCAUGUUUUAUCCAUACAAAUCCAUAGAUUUUGUAUUUUGGUAAACAUCCUCAUUUUGUGCAGUAUUUGUAAUGAAAGUUGAUGCCUAUUGGUGUGAAUGUGUAUUUUUCCUCUUCUGCUGAAUUUCCCCCUGCUUGCUGUGUAGCUAUGAAUCAAAUAUCCCAUUUAUUUGUCUAAUGCUAACCAGAUCUAGUCCUUGAGUAAUGCAUUUUACAUCAAAAGACAUUGCAGUUGAGUUUGAAAAUUUCACACCUGCUCUUAUGAAUUGUUUGGUCUCAUUUUUCAUGCAAAUAUGACAAAUAUGAGGUUUACAGGCUUCUUUAAAAAUGGAUAGCCGUUUUGUACUUGCAUCUUUUACAAUUGCAUUAGCCCUAUGCCAGAGUGGAAACACUAUUUUUACAACCAUUAUAAAGAGGGUAAUGAGAAAGAUUGGGCAUUACGAAGAAAGAUGAUACUGCAUAAUACUUUAUACGGUACAAUCACUGCUUGUUUUUUGAACAAAAAAUUACUGUAAUAAAAAAAAUGCU